GAUAAAUCUCCAAUACUUUUCUCUCAGGAAUGUUGUUGUCAACCCGACUUUCAACUGCUGAAAAUUGAUUGAAGACAGACGUUGUCAGACCUCUCACUCGCUAGCUCCACAACAAAUGAUAACAGAACACCUUGACUUGAACUUGGCGCCAGAUAAUAGGAAUAGUCACCUACUUCAGGAAACUUACUAGUGCGCGUCUAGAGGGGCACGCAACUGCAUGUCCGCUUGUAUAUAAAGGAAAAGGGAGUCUAGCGGAACUAUCACAGUUGUCGUAGCAGUUGGAGCAAGCAGCUGUCUAACCCGCUCCAAGAUGACGUACACGGCUCUGAGUGUGCUCGCUGUUUUUUGUCUGCUCGGCUGUUCUACAGCUUCCCCUGCACAUCCUGAGGAAAAUUUCGCAGUCCACCCCAAACGGUGUUCCUUCGGCGGAUGCUCGGAUCUCAUCGGAGGCUCCAUCAAGACACUCUCCAACACAGACGGCGCAUCCGCCCCUCCGGGCUCCCAGUUAAAAAGUUGUUCUUCCGCCUCUGUCGACAUUGACGGCAAUAACUCCGGCGCUAUCACGAUAAUCUCUGCAAACGGAGGCAACCACGUCCGCGUAGGUGGCACCAACUCGGGCGCUAUCACUAUCACCGCCUCUGCGACCCAGGCUAAGGAACAGUCCGUGGCCUCCAGCGACGAUGCCAGCCAGCCGCGUUUGAAGGGCUGCUCGUUCGGAAGCUGCACCGUCAUCAUCGACGGCACCAACUCCGGAGCUAUCACCGUGCCUGCGGACUAUGACUGCACCGUCACCAUCACCGGCACUAACUCGGGCGCGAUCACCGGAGCACGUUGUGUUCAGCGGGGUGUUGCCGUUCAAGCACCUUCAAAGGAAAGUUCGUCUGGACCUUGCAGUAUGAACAUACAGGGGGACAAUUCCCAAGCCAUAACCCUAAAAUGAGAUAGGGGUAUUUAUAGGUUUGCGAGGUUUUGCUCAUUUUAUGUGAAUCACAUUGAUCAUACUUCCACUCCUACUUUUAUUUACAGCGACAUUAAUGUGUAAGCUGACAUGUAUUUACCAGGAAGCAACACGGUGUUGGGUUAGCUCAUAACACUGAUAAACUAAGUGUUCAACUGCUCCACACUUCUGAGGAGUACUCUGACUAUGGCUGUGAGGUCGACAGGGCUACCCUGAUGGCCAACGAGAUACGGGACACGUUCAGAGCUCUUGCCGACGGCGAGCCGCUGGACGA